CUGGCUCAAGGUUGACUCAGCCUUUCUAAAGCACUGUGAAGCUAUGUAUAUAAGUCUAAGUGGUAAUGCUGUCAGAGAAAUUAAGAACACUGAAGGCAAUUUUGUGAGCUCCAUUUCCCCAAGACAACAGAUGGUCUUGAACCAGCCAAAGAUACAUAGGAAACAAGUUCAAGAUCAUGCGCAUGAAGCACAGCCUUCUCUUUAACAUCAGAGAUCCUAUUGCAUGUUGGACAUGGAAAGCCAGAGCAGAAU